UGCAAUCAAUGAUGAAGAAAUUACAUUAUACUGAUAUCAUGUGAGUGUUGUACAAUUUAUCACCAUCUUUCGACUGAGAUUGCG